rnacentral:rRNA from 1 species
UACGUAGGUGGCAAGCGUUGUCCGGAUUUAUUGGGCGUAAAGAGCGUGUAGGCGGUUUGGUAGGUCCGCUGUGAAAACUCGAGGCUCAACCUCGAGACGCCGGUGGAAACCAUCAGGCUAGAGUCCGGAAGAGGAGAGUGGAAUUCCUGGUGUAGCGGUGAAAUGCGCAGAUAUCAGGAAGAACACCCGUGGCGAAGGCGGCUCUCUGGGACGGUACUGACGCUGAGACGCGAAAGCGUGGGGAGCGAACAGG